CGGACGGGUGAGUAACGCGUGGAUAACCUGCCUUACACUGGGGGAUAACACUUAGAAAUAGGUGCUAAUACCGCAUAAGCGCACAGAGCCGCAUGGCUCAGUGUGAAAAACUCCGGUGGUGUAAGAUGGAUCCGCGUCUGAUUAGCUGGUUGGCGGGGUAGAAGCCCACCAAGGCGACGAUCAGUAGCCGGCCUGAGAGGGUGAACGGCCACAUUGGGACUGAGACACGGCCCAAACUCCUACGGAAGGCAGCAG
rnacentral:rRNA from 1 species